GCCCAAUUUUCACCUUUAUUCCAAUAACCCCAAUUUAACCCAAUACCCCAACUUUUCAGUCCACCACCCUUUUCUUUCACCAAAUUCUUAAAUCACCCCAUUCUUACUCCUGGCCUACUUCAACAAUUUCCUUUUAGACCCAACUUACUUUUAUAUAUCUGACCCGGCCCGACUAUUUUCUCCCCUUUCACUAAGAAAGACGACCCAAAACUUUCCCAGUACAAUUACCAGAAAGGCGACAACCCCCACGCUCCGACGUUCGCAUCAGAUACCAUCUUCACGGCUUCUUCACGCUCAGCAAGCGACGCCAAAUCCAGCAGCUACAACGCGUCAAGGCACAUGGAAAACAACGCUGCAGCUACGGUGAGGUCUACGCUAGCGUCGUCCUCUUCGUUUCUCUUGAUAGUACUGUUCCAGUCGAGAUUUUUGGCAAAACCACAUGCUAUGGCAGCUAAAUCGUUCUUGAUGGCCUUCGAUAAAGCCACGUUGUUCGAUAAGGAAACUCGUGUCAAUCCGAGCCAUUGGUCCCUUUUUACUCUUUCAAUAAAGCCACGUUGUUCGAUAAGGAAACUCGUGUCAAUCCGAGCCAUUGGUCCCUUUUUACUCUUUCGACAAAGCCACGUUGUUCGAUAAGGAAACUCGUGUCAAUCCGAGCCAUUGGUCCCUUUUAACUCUUUCGAAAAGGGUCAAAUUUCAGUAAAAAGUGUGUUUCCCCUCUUUGGUGAUUUUUUUUUGAAUUUCGAAUUUGGGACUGGGCCUUUGGUUCUCAUCCAUUUUUUUUUUACUUUUUUCCCUCCCAAGAAUCUGUAGCCCUAAUUUUUCGGCUAUAUAACAUCGCUUCCUGGCACUGAGAGGGGAAAUUUUUGGUUUGGAAUUUUCUAUACAGAAAAACAGAGAGAUUUUAUAGUGAGAUAUUUCUUAGUUGAACCACAUCGGGAGGAUUUUUGGGGGAUAAAAGAAAACCUUUUGAAAAUAGUCACAGAGAGUUACAAAGCUUGGAAAAAAUAUUUGAAAAUUUCUUCAGUUGGAAUUUUAGCAAGAACUUGCAGAGAAGAGAGGUGCUGAAUUACAAUGUCCAUAUAAGAAACACGUCCUAAGCGUAUAUACAUAUUCUUUUAGUUGUGGUUUACUGGAAUCUGCCAAGUUUGGGGUUCGAGGUUGGCAACGAAGUCACUCUUUGCUCGUGUUGUCCCGUCCGCUACACUUAGAGAGCCAUAUGUAUAAAGUGAGAGUCUUUUUUAUUUUUGUCGUCUUGCGUCGGCUGAAAAAAGCCAAAGGUACAAAAGUCGUAAAGUAAAUAGUUUGUCGGCCAAUCAUGUAAAAAGUUUGUCGGCCAAUUAUGUAAAGUAAAUAGUAUGACGGUGUAAUUUAUGUGUAUAAAUAGAGGAGCUUUCCUCAUAAAUAAAACACACCUUCAUCUUUAUAUCUCUCUUCUUUCUGAAUACUCUCUCUUUACGCUUCCACGUUUCAAAUAUGUCUAGUUCUUUGCUUAAUGUUUUUUUCCGAUUAUUUUUACUUUUUAAACUUACAUUUGUUGAGAAAAGGGGGUACUUGUUAGCAUUUGGUUCUUUCUUUUGUAUUAUGUGCAGUGACCCUUAUGCUUAGUUUUCUCUUGCAUGAUACGUUAGUUGAUUUGUCUUGUUUAAUUUUUCAUAGUGACCAGUAGCUACUCCCGUUAUCGGUUAGGUUGUGCAGUUAUCUUGUCUUUAUUAAAAUAAGAUAAAAUGUCGGUGGAUCAUGCUAUCAAAGUUCUGGUGGGUUUAAGCUUCAUUUCCUUGCGCUGAAGUUUUUUUUUUUACGCAGAUGCCUAAAUUGUUUUAGCUUACAAAAAUCUUAUUAUUUUAUAUAUAUACAUAUAUAUAUAUAUAUAUAUGGUCAUUUCUUUCGACCAUCUUCGAGUUUGACAAUAUUUCGAGAUCCUCACUUUUUGUUAGCAUAGUUAGCCAUGUGAUAAAUGUUUUUCUUGUUAAGUCACAGUAAAGUUCCACCUUCAAGAAGUUUGCUAUGUUUAGUUAGAAUAAAAACAUGCCGAUAUUAUUUUGAUAAGUCAUCUUGGAGCAUGAUUUUAUCUGUCACUGCCCAUCUUGGAGCAUGAUUUUAUCUGUCACUGCCCAAGUAUAAGAUGUUUGUUUUGUAUCUUUUGUUAUGGUCCCAUGCUAAAUAUAUGUUAAUUGAUACUCAUUGCCUCUACAUCGUUUUGUCUAAGAGCAAGCUCUUUGUAGUGAUCUAAGGUUAGUCUCAAUUAACAUUGUCUAUUUAAGCUCUUGAGAUUUUUAAGUUGCUUUUAUCUCAAUUAACAUUGUCUAUUUAUUUCCUUUAUGAUAACUUAUAUUUUCUUUCGUUUGUUGUACGAACCCCUUUUUAAUCCAUGGUGGACUCCCUUCUUUUGCAUUCCCGAGAUGAGCCAUAAAGGCUUGAUCAUUUCCUUUGACCGAGUCAGCCAGCCAUUAGAAUUGAGGAGCAAUUCCAUAAAAGGGCGUACGGAUCCCAAGCUGAAAGAAAGUGAUGUACAGGGCGAUAAAAUUCGAGAGAUUGGGCUAGAGAGUCAAAAUUUAUAUUUUUUUAAAUAUUGUAUUUUUUUUUAAUUUUGAGGUAUAAGCCUUUGACGUUUUUUGUAUUUAUUGUUUUUUCUAGGAUUUAGGAAAGAUACCAAAUCGAAUGAGCUUAAGGCCCAAAAAUGAAAGGGGUCCAAAUACCGGUCCAGGUGGACAGAAAUCGUACUUAGGCUCAACUCUCUCUCUCACUCUUACUUUAUCGCUAUUUGCUUGUUAUUAUUUAGCAUUAAUUUUAAGGUCAAAAACUUCAAAUC